UAUAUCAGUCAUGCAUAGCAUAUCAAUAAGCGGAGGAAAAGAAACUAACAAGGAUUCCCUUAGUAACGGCGAGUGAAGCGGGAAGAGCUCAAAUUUGAAAUCUUCAAGGUUUUACCUUGACGAAUUGUAGUUUAAAGAAGUGUUUUCUGUUGAAGUUUUGGUAAAAGUUCUUUGGAAUAGGACAUCAUAGAGGGUGAGAAUCCCGUAUUUGACCAUUACUUUCAGCUUUGUGAUACACUUUCAAAGAGUCGGAUUGUUUGGGAAUGCAGUCCAAAAUGGGUGGUAAAUUUCAUCUAAAGCUAAAUAUUGGCGAGAGACCGAUAGCGAACAAGUACCGUGAGGGAAAGAUGAAAAGAACUUUGAAAAGAGAGUUAAACAGUACGUGAAAUUGUCAAAAGGGAAGCGUUUGACACCAGUGUUGUUUUCUCGAAAAUCAAUUAAAAAGAGUUGGAUUUUGUGUUGUAUUGACUUUAUCAGCUUUCUUCACUCUUUUCCAGCUAUUUUUAAUGCACUUUUCGUUUAACAAGUCAACAUCAGUUUCUUUUGUUGUAAAAAGGUCAUUGGAAGGUGGCUUUCUCUUCGGAGAAAGUGUUUAUAGCCUUUGACUCAUGCAAUCGGAGAGACUGAGGUCUGCAGCGUAGAUCCUUCGGGGUUAGAUACAUUUGUGCUAAGUUAUAGCUUUUCAUAGACAACUUGUUGACUAUGUUUAGUCUUGUAGCUUACUCGCUUAUGCUAUUUUACCUACGCUUAGGAUGUUGAACUCUAUCACACACAG
rnacentral:rRNA from 1 species